UAGAGUUUGAUCCUGGCUCAGAUUGAACGCUGGCGGCAGGCCUAACACAUGCGAGUCGAGCGGAUGAAGAGAGCUUGCUCUCUGAUUCAGCGGCGGACGGGUGAGUAAUGCCUAGGAAUCUGCCUGGUAGUGGGGGACAACGUCUCGAAAGGGACGCUAAUACCGCAUACGUCCUACGGGAGAAAGCAGGGGACCUUCGGGCCUUGCGCUAUCAGAUGAGCCUAGGUCGGAUUAGCUAGUUGGUGAGGUAAUGGCUCACCAAGGCGACGAUCCGUAACUGGUCUGAGAGGAUGAUCAGUCACACUGGAACUGAGACACGGUCCAGACUCCUACGGGAGGCAGCAGUGGGGAAUAUUGGACAAUGGGCGAAAGCCUGAUCCAGCCAUGCCGCGUGUGUGAAGAAGGUCUUCGGAUUGUAAAGCACUUUAAGUUGGGAGGAAGGGUUGUAGAUUAAUACUCUGCAAUUUUGACGUUACCGACAGAAUAAGCACCGGCUAACUCUGUGCCAGCAGCCGCGGUAAUA
rnacentral:rRNA from 1 species